UUUACACGCGUGCGGUUCGCUUGGAUUCGCUCCUCCUUCGGUCCAUAAAGUGCAAAACAGAGAGAGAGAGUGUGUGUGUGUGUGCGAAGCCGCCAAAGAUGAGUUAUUACCCCAGGGACUAGAAGUUGGUCAGACAGUGCACGGCAUAUCAAUUAGAAGAAAGCGCCGGGCGAGGCCAUCACCCUUUGGAUUGGCACAUGCGACUCCGCCCCGGACAGCAAAUAG